UACGUGGGGGGCGAGCGUUGUCCGAAUUUACUGGGCGUAGAGCGCGCGUAGGCGGUUUCUUAAGUCUGGGGUGAAAGGUUCAACGCUCAACGUGAACAGUGCCUUGGAUACUGGGAGACUUGAGUCUGGGAGGGGGUAGUGGAAUUCCUGGUGUAGCGGUGAAAUGCGUAGAUAUCAGGAGGAACACCGGUGGCGAAGGCGGCUACCUGGCCUAAGACUGACGCUGAGGUGCGAAAGCGUGGGGAGCGAACGGG
rnacentral:rRNA from 1 species